CGCCUGUACCACACACUAAUCCGACUACUAUUAAUAUUAUCUACUACACUACUACUACUACUACUACUACUACUACCUGCCUCGCGCGAGAGAGUCGAGACCCCCGGGCACGUUGUUCUCGGGGUGCUCCCAAGAAUCGUGUCGAAGGAAACGGACGAUCUUUCGCCUGGUUUCACAUUGGAACGUUAAUUCUACGUAUUUCUUUAUUUCCUUUUUUCCUUUUGUUUUCUUUUUCCUUUCUUUUUCUCUUUCUCUAAUAUUCUUCAAAACGAUCAUAAACGAUGUAUCGGUAUUAAGUAAUCAUCUAGAUUACUUAUCUAUCAUCGAUAUCCAUUCCUCGUUCAAUACGUUGAAAAGACUUUCUAAUCCGAUUAGGAACGACGUGCUGCUAAUAUAGAAACUCAACGAGUUUAGGUACAUAUGUAGGUAUCUACGGAAGAACCCAAAGGAAUCUUCUUCAAGAUGAAACAGGCGUGCCUUGGUUUUUAGAUCGGUAUACGAACGUCGACGAGAGCUGCUUUGACGUUAAGGCUGUGCCACGCUUCGUUGACCUGCCCUUUAUAGGUCAGCGAUUGCUGCCUUGAUGUGAGCGAGAAAUAAAGAGAAAUAAAGAUGAAGAUUCACCUAGAUAUUCGGAGUAAUGAUAUAAUAGUAAUGAAUUAUUAAUGAAAUUGGAUAGCCAGUGAAGAUAUAAAAAUGAAAAUAAUGAUGUUAUUAAGUCAGAGGUGAAGGAACUUGUCCGCUGAGUUACGAAGAAGUAGCGAAUGGAUUCUCUCUUUGAGAAUCGACAGAAGCCAAUUCGAGGUCUCGAGGUCAGGUCGUCUACGAAGGAAACUCCCUCCGUUCGUUCUCCUUUGCACCGUGACUGCGAAGGCGAAAUCACGAAUAUUCUCGUUGCGCAACUUGAGCCAGCAUAUGCAUACGUAUAAACGUAUAAACGUACAUACAUACAUAUAUACGUAUGUAUGUAUAUAUGUGUUAUAUAUACGUGUUGCGAAGAGAGAAAAGUAGAGAGGGGACAUUGGGGGAGAUUAUCUUCAAGAAAGGUACACCUCCUAGGUCGUGGAAAGAAAAGUCUCGAGGACAGGUCGCGUGGGAAAGGUCUAACUUCCUUUAACAGCAACAUUUUUUCUUCUUUUGUUGAAAAAUUAGAUAGGACAAAGAAAAGGAUAAUACAUAUUUUUAUAAACUACUUCUAAUUUCUAAACGUUCAGAGUUAUUUAACAUCGAGGAAUUCUUUCGUAGACAAAUGUUGAAGAGUCGUAGAAGAGGAAUAAAAGAAUUCUUGUGAAUUCGAGAGAAGCAGAACUGCAAAAUCAUCCGUAUUAGCAUGCAAAAGACAGAGUCGAAUUCUCUACCAGAUAUUUUCUUCUUUCUUUAUCGAGGGUGUCGUCCUUCGAAUCCCGAAGGACAACUGGUCUCAUCCAAAAAUCUUUUUGUUACUUUGAACAGAACGAUGAUGAAAAUCCUUGCUAAUGCAAAGGAUCAUUGUUGCCGAAACUCUUUUUCCUUGGCAACGAACCAAAAUGAAGAAGUCGAGUGGGUCAGUGGGUCGACGUCACGUUAAUUACGAGGAAUUCAACUCGCCUCUCGAAUCUCCCCACACUCCACCAUCGUCAUCACCAUCACCAUCAGCACCAAUACCACCACACCCUUUACUGGCCUUCUCAUUACCUUUUCCGUCGUGCGGAAUACUUGGGAUUCGCGGAAGAUACCGACGGAACCAUGACAGAAUCGUGAGACAUCUUUGAAGCGUGACACUAAACUUUUAACACUGGUACUUUUCGUCUGUCAGAAUGAAAUUAACUUCCGGUAUACCGUUAUUAAGCUAUACCGUUCAUUGUUGUUAACGAUGGAUCUUUUAUCUUUCUCUCUUGUUCUAUCAAAUAAGAAAAUGAGGAGAUAGCGUUUCUUUUGAUUGCUUCAGUCACGCUAGGUUGACGAUGAAGAUGAAAGAUUUUUUUUCUUUUUUUUGGCUGUUCAUUCUUUUUCGAUCAUCAUGGUUAGUGUCUUCAAACUGUAUAUUCUAGUGGAUUAAAGGGAAGAAAUUAAGAAGAAAGGAUUCACACAGACUAUUCUAUUUAUAGUUAGAGCUAUCGUAGAAAACCGGUCUUAAAGUGGAAAUUGUGAUAUUAGGUAAUAAAGUCUCCUCUAUCCAGCGGACGACACGAAAUUAUCCCCUUAGACUUCCGGCGCAGUACAAGUAGUACCGUUCCUAAGGUAUUCCAGACGAUCUUGUAAAAUGUUCGCAGGAAUUCACUAGACUAUCUCGUAUGUACGUACGAGUCACGCGACCGCGAUAAAGAUUAAAUUGUGGAAACUUUUAGUUGGGAAUUUCAAGAGAACGUUCCCAUCCUGCCACGUCACCACCACUAGAUAUUGUAAUGAUCAUCCAACACAUAUAAAAAAAUCAUAAAAGGUGCAUUGUCCUAUGAUGCAUGCAAGCAUUGAAAUUUCCAGCUCGUAGAAUAACGGGAGACACAAACGCAUGGCGAAGCAAUGAUCUCUGGUAUUCGCUUUGCUGGCAAAUGCGUCGUUCACUUUUACUAACGCGGUCAAGCUAAAUGCUUCUACGAUUAUUUUGUAACAGCUGUAAAACCCAGUGAAAGGAGAAUCUUAAAGAAUAUAGCAACGUAUAGCAACAUUUAUGAUCAUGAAAAUAUUUAUUGCAAUUUUUACAUUGUCAAAAAAGUUGUUGAAUUUUCAAAACGAAUUCGGAUACUUGGCUGAUUCAUUCUCUCGAAUAUGUUUACAUUUAAAGAACAGUUGAUCGCACACGUUCGUAGUUUAAAUUCCAAGGAGAAGAAAUGAGAGAGGGGAGGAAGAAAAAGCAAGAAAAAUUCUUUCCCGUACACAGAUUGAGAGCAUGGCAGUUCACUUCCGACACGUAGUAUAUAGCUAUAUAGCAUGCGUUGGACGCAUUCAAGGUCGACCAAGAGAACUGGAGCAUGUUACGAGGACUUCUGAUAAGCGCUGCAAACUUGCCAUAAUUAUUCGAGGCCGUUUCUUUACUUGCUUGUUGAAAAGAAAGCUUGUUUUAAUCGUAUAUGAACAUAAAGAUAAUUUGACGAGAUUAUUAAUAAUUGUUUCUUUUUCUUUUCUUUUUUUUUUUUUAUUUCUUGAGAUUUUAGAAAUGCUCAUAACUCAUCGAAAUUUGUAAAUCAAUGGAGUAUCUAGUUAUUUAUAUUGUUUAUUGUUUCUAGGCUAUUAUUUCGAGUAAUUUCACGCAGUUUAAAGAGCCACGGUCAUGGGAAAUAGCAACGAUUAUCUUAUCGAUCGAUCGUGAUCAGAAAGAACGAUGAAUCCUCUCGACUUCUUUUUUUCCAGCUCUUACGGUUUCAUGAUUGUGAUUCAACGAUGUAACAAAUCGACGGAAGUAGCAUUAAUUGACUUUAGAAGAUACCUUUUAAACGAGAUUCGUCGAGUCUUGGUAUUUAAUCAGAAAGUGUAUACGUAUAAAAAGACCUCGUGAGCUUUGUCAGAGCCCCUAUAACGAGUUGCUAUAGGUUUCAACAUUUUCAACAAACAUUCCAUGAUAAUAUUUUUAUCA